CCUACGGGUGGCAGCAGUGGGGAAUAUUGGACAAUGGGCGAAAGCCUGAUCCAGCCAUGCCGCGUGUGUGAAGAAGGCCUUCGGGUUGUAAAGCACUUUCAGUGGGGAAGAAAGCCUUGGGGCUAAUACCCUCGAGGAAGGACAUCACCCACAGAAGAAGCACCGGCUAACUCCGUGCCAGCAGCCGCGGUAAUACGGAGGGUGCGAGCGUUAAUCGGAAUUACUGGGCGUAAAGCGCGCGUAGGCGGUCUGAUAAGCCGGUUGUGAAAGCCCCGGGCUCAACCUGGGAACGGCAUCCGGAACUGUCAGGCUAGAGUGCAGGAGAGGAAGGUAGAAUUCCCGGUGUAGCGGUGAAAUGCGUAGAGAUCAGGAGGAAUACCAGUGGCGAAGGCGGCCUUCUGGACUGACACUGACGCUGAGGUGCGAAAGCGUGGGUAGCAAACAGGAUUAGAUACCCUUGUAGUC
rnacentral:rRNA from 1 species